UUCCUGCCGCCGGUCACCGACGGAUCGGGGCAGGAUCGAACUCUGCUGCGCAAGGCGUCGCAACUGUUGCAGGACGCCGGAUGUGUCAUCAAGGACGGCAAGCGCCGAUUGCCCAACGGCGAUGCGUUCCGGGUUGAGUUUCUGCUCGAAGAGCCCGCGUUUCAGGCUCACCACGCGCCCUACAUCAAAAAUCUCGGCGUGCUGGGCAUCGACGCCAGCGUGCGGCUGGUCGAUCCGGUGCAGUUCCGCUCGCGGGUCGACGAUUUCGAUUUCGACGUGGCGAUCCAGCGUUUCAGCAUGUCAUCGACGCCGGGCGAUGCGAUGCGCACGUUCGCGGACGUCAAGGGAUCGCAGAAUCUUUCCGGUAUCAAGAAUCCCGCCAUCGACGCGCUGAUCGAGCGCAUCAUCGCGGCCGACAAUCGCGACGAACUGCGCAUCG
rnacentral:misc_RNA from 1 species